GGGGGCCGCAAGGCAACCGGCAGACGAGGUAGUAACACGUAGGAACAUACCCCGAAGUCUGAUAUAGCCCGCCGAAAGGCGGGGUAAUCCCAGAUAGUCUCGUAAGAGUAAAGCUCCGGCGCUUCGGGAGUGGCCUGCGUAAUAUCAGCUAGUUGGUGAGGUAAUGGCUCACCAAGGCUAUGACGUUUAGGGGACCUGAGAGGGUGACCCCCACCGAUGAAACUGAGAACGGUUCAUACCCCUACGGGGGGCCGCAGCCGAGAAUAUUCGACAAUGGGCGAAAGCCUGAUCGAGCGAUACCGCGUGGUGGAUGAAGUGCUUCGGCACGUAAACACCUUUUAUGGGGGAAGAAGUUAUUGACAUUACCUCAUGAAUAAGGGGCUCCUAACUCUGUGCCAGCAGGAGCGGUAAUACAGAGGCCCCAAGCAUUACCCGGAAUUAUUGGGCGUAAAGGGUGCGUAGGUGGUCAUGUUAGUCGUCUGUUAAAAACCCGGGCUCAACCCGGGGAAUGCGGGCGAAACGGCAUGACUUGAGGGCGUGAGAGGUUUGCAGAACUCUAGGUGUAGGGGUGAAAUCCGUUGAUAUCUAGGGGAAUACCGAAAGCGAAGGCAGCAAACUGGCGCGUUCCUGACACUCAAGCACGAAAGCGUGGGUAGCGAAUGGGAUUAGAUACCCCAGUAGUCCACGCCCUAAACGAUGUCAACUGGCUUUCCGGAGUAUCGACCCUCUGGGAGGCGAAGCUAACGCGUUAAGUUGACCGCCUGGGUAGUACGGCCGCAAGGCUAAAACUCAAAUGAAUUGACGG
rnacentral:rRNA from 1 species